AGCGAUGGAAUCCAAUUACAAAUGUUCAGUGUCGCCCUGCGGCAAAGUGUCUGUGAAAAGGGAAAGAUGACUGAGCUUAAACAACUCAGCUGUUAGGAAGAAAUAUAGGAAAUCACUGCACUCCCGGCAGAGAACAGGAACCAGCCACUUUUGGCCUGCCCCUUCAGCCCCUCGUCCCCCUCCGCCCCCUUCACCGUGGGACCCGGGCACACGCCGAUGCUGUUUCUGCCAUUCAGAGAUGUCCAUGUUCCAGCCUCAGGAACCUGCAGUCUCUUGGAGCGCACCAGACCACAGAGGCAUCGCCUCGGGCAGUACAGGAGUUUAUAGACUAGGUUGCGGACCUUGCGCUUAUUUUAUAAGCGCUCUUGAACGGCAUCUUGGCCUUUGACACGCGCAGGUGAGAGGGCAAGCACCUCCUGCAGGAGGGGAAUGGCAUCCGGCUGGUCACAUAGGAAGAUGACGAACAAGCAGGAAGCCUCUGUGCGUUUAAGGACGUGAAUCGGAGGUUUGCUGCACACUUGGUCUGGGCUCUGCCUUGCCAGGCAUUAGAGGAAGGAAAGUGCUGUAGUUAGAGGCCCUGCUGGGCAGGAAGAGUCUCCCUAUGGGCCAGAUCCUUUCCCACCCAUCAGAAGGCCAAGUGGUGUGGAGGAUAUCCAAGUGCCAUCCUAUUCUACCAGCUUGAAAACCCAUUCAAUUCAUAACGUGCCUUUGUCCUGGCCAUGGGUUCUCCAGGACUCAACCUGGGUGUGACCAGAAAGCAGUUUGACUCCAAAGUACCUCUUUGGCACCCAGGAUCUGCCUCUGUAGCAUCUCUACAGCACCUAGCACAAGAGGGUCCCCGUCCUGCUCUGGUGCCACUGCCACGUACGUCAUUAAUAGCAACAAAAAUGCGUUAUUAAUACCAUCGUUAAUAGCAACAUCAAGUGCAAAGCUGAAGAUUUACCUUCAGUUACUGGCACUGCUACAUGCUCCCCGGGUGAGCUUGGGCAGGUGACUUAGGGCCAUACUCUAGUCCAUGUACCUAAAUAAAUGAGAUUCUCUUCUACUUGGCUCAAGGCCCUGGAGAUCAGUUAAAACAGAAAGUGGCCGGGUUUUCCUCCUCCAUCACACUGCCUAUUUGUGACUAAAGUCCUGAGGGUCAGGUGAUGGCAUGUUGCAGAAGGAGGUGUAUUGAUGGCUGUUUAGGACUUGAACAGAGCAGAAGAGGAUCACACUUAGGUGCUGAAGGCCACUUGGAUGCCCACUAGGUGAAGUAACUAGGAUUCAAGUCUGAGAUGGUCCCAGUGAUGCACUGCCACUGUAUCCCAAAUGUCCAAUUUAUAUUUUUGAAUAAACAAAAAAUAAUCUGCCUGUUAAAUAACAUUGGAUCAUUAAACCGAUGACUCCGAGGAGGUGUCCGAUGCCAAGGACAUCCUGAACAGCUCAAGAGCACCCACUGAAGAGAAGCAAAGGAACCCAUCAGUGAAGAAGUUAAUACUUCAGCACAUAGUACAGAGGUUUAGCAGCAGUGUAAUGGAUAUGAGCUGAUUAAUAAUACAUCGGUGAUUAAUACCGAGAUGAUUUUUUUCGAUUAAUAAGGAUGCGGCAGAACUGCUCACUCAGGAAAGAUGUUUCCAAUCACCCAUUUGAAUGCAGUGACCAUUGCCUAAAUGCUGUGAUUAAAUCUGCAUUUAAGACACUUCAUUAAAUUACAGCAUAAGUGAAUUCUUCUAACCCACAGCAAGAAGCAUGCUCAGCCCUGGUGAGCAGAGGCAGAGAAAGGACAGGCCCCAGAAGUAUGCUUGAGACUUGCAGGGUAUCGCGUUGGCUUUGUCUGAAGGGAUGAUGUGCCCCCCACAAAGAGAAGAUAAGGGUCCCACUACUGCCGCUGGUUAAAGAAGCUUUUCUGUAGAUGGAGGGCAGCUGCCUGAGCUUCUCGAGCUGAAAGACCGAGGGUCUGGUUCAGGGUCCCAGUGCAUGUCUGUGUGGGAGAUGGGUGAUGCUGCCUGCGCACAUGAAUACAUUGCAGGUGCAGGACUACCCUUUGGCAAAAGUGGUUACCAGUCCUGUGCUGCCUGCUGACUCCCAAGCUGAGCUGACCUUCCCUUCGACCACUGAAAAAAAAUGUAAGAAGGUUUAAGUAUUUAAAAAUGUUCCAAAGAGAGGGGGGGAAAGGGUUUUGUUAUUAUUCUAAUAUAUUAUCGUGUAUACUGAAGCCCAGAGGGAGGAAAACCUACCCGCUGGAUCCAUCUCGCUGCCUAGAAACUACGAAGAGGAGAAGAUAACAAGUGAUUCUUAAUCUACUCUUGCAAACAGGAGGCCUAGAAAUGGAGGAGACUCGGACGCGUUAUUCCCCAUGUUGCACCUCAGAGCCCACCAACUGUCCAUCACCCCUAAUCCCUUGUCUUGAGCUCAGGACAAAAGCCAUCUCCAUAACCAGCGAUCUGCAAACUCUUCUCCCACUUCCACAGGUGCAGCCACGACACGUUCGUGCCCGAUUGACGCCGGCCUAACUCUGGAGGAGAACUGAUCCCGUGUCGGCGGCUCCCCCAGAAGCAGGCCCGGCCGGCCCCUUGCCCGCCAAGGGCCCUCACACGCACAUCCCUCCUCGGCAUGUUUGUAAAACAAUCUUUUUAAUUUUCUGGUUGGCUUGGCAAAUCACAGCUGCUCGUUCCCCAGAGCUCCUGAGCGCAUUUGCACAGGUUCCCAUUUACAUACAGUAGGGCUUUUAAUUUCCUUCUCGCCGCACGCUUCAGAAAUAAGCCGUCUGAAAUCUUACAGAUGGCUGAGAGAGGAGGACACUCUUCCUAGGCGACGGAGGACGCGAGGGCCACAUCACGAAUAACACGGGCUUUGCUAAGCAGCUGAGCCUCCCGUUUGUUGGGGCUGCCCCUGGAUGAAGGAUCACACGAGGGCUUGAGCUCCACUCGUUAUUUCUUUGACUCAAUGGCUUUGCAGUUACCAAGCCCGAGCCAAGGUGCUUGAGUAUUAAUUGAUACUUGCUGCUGAGUGAGGCUUAUUAAACACCAGCUUUGGGGUGAAAGUGGCAGCUCGCAGAGGCGAUAAUGAGCAGAACAAAAAGUCCAGGACUCAAACUUCGCUUUCCUCCGGCAUCUGUUACCGCAAUUACAAGCCCAAAAAACACAACAACAGCCACCAGAAAAAGACUCUUAUUAGAAAAGGAAUAGCUCCCACAAAUGCCUCCCAGUCACGGAAAUGACAGGGAUUUUCACAGCUUGCCACAUUCUGCAGCUGGGUUAAUUAUUGUCGUUUUGGAGAGUGCUGCCCAACCUCAACACCAAAUGAAUCCCAAAGAAACACAUCCAGCGUGUAAUAGCGCCUGCUAAUUCACCAGCGAACCCUCUGUGCCGAUUGGCGGCGGCGGCCUCUCCCCAAAGGGUGCGGGGACUAGGGUGGCGGGGGAAGAAUAAUUAGCAUUCUCUAGUAAUUAAUACAGUACAAUUUGCACAUAUGGUGUAAUUAGGGGGAUAAUUUAUGCGUGCCACUGAUGAUAGUGUAGCUGAUUUGCUGCCGCUGCUCUCGGGUUUCCAGUGUCCCGGUGAGCCACGCACAAGUUCGCGGCGGUGGCGUUUUGGAUGCUCCCUUUGUCUGGAAGGCGACAGCGCAGACGAGCGCUUUCCUUGUGCCACUUCCAGAACAUCCCUCCCCUGCAUCUGGGACCCUGAAGGGCUGGGGGAAAGGGAGAUUGGGGCAAAAGUGGGUAAAGUGAGGAAGGGGAUGCAGAGAGGCUGCACCAGAGGAGGACAGAAGGGGUGGAGGAUGAGCGCAAAAAUGGCAGGAAGCAAAUCUGAGGGAUGUCGUGCCAGCGCAUUGUCACGCAGGGGCUUUUUGUGGGCCCUGAGAGAGGAGGUCAGACACCCAAACGUGGCUCCUGGUCAUGUUUUGGUGUUGAUUCUCCGCUUUGGAGCCUGUUUUGCACCCUGAGAGUGAACAACACAUGGAACUUCCCCUUAUUGCCACCGAUAAUACCUGCCGUGGCCUGGAGGUGACCAACCCAGAGCUUGCAGAACGGGGUCCAGGCCCUUGGACAAGGCACCACGUCACUUAGUUAUCGGCACAAACACGAUAGUGGGAUUGCAGCCAGGCCUGCGCGUUGCACCACAAACCCCAGCCUCCAGCAGAGCUCAGCCCUGCCUGGGGAGGAAGCUCCACCCGGGCUAGAAACAGCCCAGCAGAGCUCCUCGCAGCAGAGCCGGCACGGGACGGAGUAGGAGAGGAAGAGCAGAAAAUGCCCAGCUGCUCAAGGUAGCUCUGCUCUCCUUCUCUGUGGCACGGGGAACAGCCUCACCCACUCCUGAGCCCAGGUGAGGGGCUUGUCCAAGAGCCAGUGCAGGUCACCCAGGAAGGAAGAAGACCAUGCUGCCAUCCUCAUGAGGGACCCCAGGCAGAGUAAAGGUGAGGCUGGAAAAGGGAAGGCGUCUGGGUUGACAUGGGGACAGAGCCGAUGGGCUGAGGGGCAGAAUUGGGGGCUGGCAGGAAGUGGGACAACGCGAGAUGAGAGUUUCUGCAGCAGGGGUUAAAACCACCUGGUUCAAUAAACUUAGCAUUUCUAAUUAUCCCAUACCCGUGCUGCAGACGGACUUGGGGUGGGGGGAGUUCAGACACCAAGAACCAGCCCUGAGCUGCACCAUUUCUUCUCUUUCUGCAAGCAUAAAUCUCAUGACUUUUUGGCCCACCAUGGUGAAGUUUGACUCAGGACCUUUGAACUUUUGGGAUCACUUGUAACAGCUGUGCAUCUGAAUGAGCCUCUGAGCUUCGUGCCAGGAACUGGAAGGAUUGUAGUCUGCUGCCUGUGUGUCCUUAAAGUCACGAGGAUGGUCAGUGCAGGCAUGAAGAGAUGCUUGGAUGGACUGUAAGGAUGCUACUACAAGGAACACUCUCUGGAAGUUAAGGUCCCUUAAAACAAGACUUUUCUUUCGCUCUUUGCUGUUGCCUCAUAAGAAUCCCUGAGAUCCACUUCCCAGCAGCUCUGUAAGCAGCUAACUAUGCCUAGACUCAGCAUUGCUGGCCGUGGCUAAUAGUGAUGUCUAUUCACAACACCUGUGCAAGCUCUCGAAUUAGGAGCACAUGGGGCCAGUCUUGUACCCUGCUGGUGAGGCAGUGAGAGAGAGUGGCUUGGUUUAGGGAAAGCCUAAGGAGUAUUCCCGCUGCAUUGGUGCACGCAGAGAUCCUCUCCUGCCAAGGAAAGGCUCCACAAAAGAACAAGUGACAGCCAAGCAUCAGUUUGCAGAUGAACUGAAGGGCUGAACUGAACACGGUCAGGUUGGGUGCUUGGCUGGAAUUGUUCAUUAACAGUUUUGGCUGUCAUUUAGCGCGUGGAAGCCAGCUUUCCUGUUUCAACCGUCUCUAAGAUGCGCCUGUGGUCAUCUAACUGGGAAUUCGGUACAGACUUGCUGUUGCAUCCUUGCUUCAAGAGUCAAGGGAAGAAAGGAGUCAUUGAUUUCCUCUACGCCACUUCCCACCCCCAAAAAACCCCAGCAAGACCGCUUUAAAAUCAAAAUG